rnacentral:rRNA from 1 species
ACGCUGGCGGCAGGCUUAACACAUGCAAGUCGAACGCCCGAGCAAUCGGGAGUGGCAGACGGGUGAGUAACACGUGGGAACAUACCCUCAGGUUCGGAACAACGCCGGGAAACUGGCGCUAAUACCGGAUACGCCCUGUGAAGGGGAAAGGCUUGCUGCCUGAGGAGUGGCCCGCGUUCGAUUAGCUAGAUGGCGGGGUAACGGCCCACCAUGGCGACGAUCGAUAGCUGGUCUGAGAGGAUGGCCAGCCACAUUGGGACUGAGACACGGCCCAAACUCCUACGGGAGGCAGCAGUGGGGAAUAUUGGACAAUGGGCGCAAGCCUGAUCCAGCCAUGCCGCGUGAGUGAUGAAGGCCUUAGGGUUGUAAAGCUCUUUCGCACGCGACGAUAAUGACGGUAGCGUGAGAAGAAGCCCCGGCUAACUUCGUGCCAGCAGCCGCGGUAAUACGAAGGGGGCUAGCGUUGUUCGGAAUCACUGGGCGUAAAGGGUGCGCAGGCGGGUUCAUAAGUCAGGGGUGAAAUCCCGAGGCUCAACCUCGGAACUGCCUUUGAUACUGUGGAUCUUGAGUCCGGAAGAGGUG